AAUGAACGCUGGCGGCAGGCCUAACACAUGCAAGUCUAACGGAUCCUUCGGGAUUAGUGGCGGACGGGUGAGUAACGCGUGGGAACAUACCCUUUGGUACGGAAUAGCCUCGGGAAACUGGGAGUAAUACCGUAUGUGGUCGAGAGACGAAAGAUUUAUCGCCAAAGGAUUGGCCCGCGUUGGAUUAGGUAGUUGGUGGGGUAAUGGCCUACCAAGCCGACGAUCCAUAGCUGGUUUGAGAGGAUGAUCAGCCACACUGGGACUGAGACACGGCCCAGGCUCCUACGGGAGGCAGCAGUGGGGAAGCUUAGUCAAUGGGGGAAACCCUGAUCUAGCCAUGCCGCGUAAUCGAUGAAGGCCUUAGGGUUGUAAAGAUCUUUCAGGUGAGAAGAUAAUGACUGUACCACCAGAAGAAGCCCCGGCUAACUCCGUGCCAGCAGCCGCCGUAA
rnacentral:rRNA from 1 species